UGAUCCUUAAAGGACUAUGGAACCUCCAAUGGUUUGAACAAGAACACAGUAAUUCUCUAUCAGAGACGAGUCUCGAAUUCUACAAUAGACCGGUUUAGGCAGCAGAAACAACAACAUUCACAUAUGAUGUAGAUGAUGAAGGUAGCCAGCCAAGAGAGCGAGAUUAUUUGGGUCCCCAGGAGUCCAGGUAGAUGAUCUUGGACAUCGAAUCCUCGGUGCGCCUGGCUCUCUCCACCGCUUUCUCCCCUCCUCUCCUCCACUGAUCAAUGGAAGAAGAAGACAUCCUCUUGGCCCGAGAGAACGGCGCCAUGCUGCGCUUGGCACGCCCGUGGAGGGACCUGAGCGCGUAGUUCCAUCGACACAGGCCCGCCUGAUCCUUGAGCGCCUCCACCGCCGCCACGCUCGCUGCGACGAUCAGCGAAGCCUUGCUUGCCGAAGCCAUAUGUAUCAAUCUACUACUCAGUAGUUUGAACCUGUGAUGAGUUGCAAAUGUUACAGAAGUGGGCGACGGGGAAGGGAAACACAAGCGUCCAUAUAAAGCCCCCGAGGAAGGGAAAACAGGGGAUGAGAUUGCCGCUGGUUUCGGCUCAUAGUUGUUUCCCAGAUACAAGGGGAGGCUUUUGCUUGUUUACGGAUAAGACUGUGACUGCAUUGGAAUCAGUGAGACGGAUGGUUUGGUAGGAGAAAACGUGUGGCUAAAGUAGAACAAAAGGCACACGGAUCGGAGACCUGUGGGCGGCACCAGUAAACCGGGAAUCUAACGGUUGAUCAGCCAUCCUUGCUUGGCUUGGCGAUCCUGUCGAGAUGUGAGGUUUGGUCUCUCUCUAUCUCUCUCUCUCUCUCUCUCUCACACACACAUCUUUGAGUCGAGCAACUGCGGAUGGAUUCCCUUCUUACUCCUGUUUUUGUUUCGGUAACAAAGGUCACUCAGCAUCAGUCUCUUGCUGGAUCGAUAAUAGUAUCUAUCUAAAACAAAUUCUCUCUUUUUUUAUUGUUCUUGUAUGAGCUGAAGAUAAAGAAAGGGAUAAACAUUGGUGAGAGAUGGGAGAGAGUGAUCUUUCGAAGAUGUGAUUGAUUUAGCAUAGCUUCUGCCGAUGGAUUUCAUGUCAUCCUUUGCUCCUUUUAAUCAGUUCCAUCGAAUAUAUAUGAGAUAAGACGAGAAAUGCCACAAACAUCUUGAACAAACUUAUCCAUGCCAUGAAAAGGCCUCAUCAUGUUCGAACAAUUCAGUAUAUAUUACUGCAAAAUCGGAUUGUUUUUACAUAGGAGACGUAGGCUGAACAGAGAAGAAGGAUUUGGUUCAUCUUUGAACCAAACACAAAGACACCUCUCUCUAAUUGGGACCCCAACAGCUCAAGUACACGACCGUCCUCAGUGCCUCCUCUGCUUGCUUGGCCUUCGCAUCCGCCGCCUGCCACUCUCUCCUCGUGUCGAUGGAGGAAGAUGUCCUCUUGGCCCGAGACAAGGAGCCUACGGUGUUGUUCUUCGUCCGCUGCUGCAGAGAUCUGAGGACGUAGUUCCACCGGCAUAGCCCCGCUUGGUCCUUGAGCGCUUCCACUGCGCUCAUGCUAGCCGCGACAACGAAACAAGCCCUGCUUGCAGAAGCCAUAUCUUUAGCCUAUGAAAGAACUGAUGAGUGACAAAGAAGAUCUCGGUGGAAGUAGAUCGUGAGUGUCUCAAUCUGAUGCCGAAGAAGGAGAUGGAAGGGUGUCCAAUAUAUAAGGCUACGGUAAUCGAGGAGGUUGGGAGGAGAGGGUAUGGAAGAGAAAGAGAACCGGGGUGCGCUGCUGCUGGUUUCUUGCUUCUCACUCCCCCUUCCCCUGAUACCAGCGGCCAUAUUGCUUGUUUAUUAGCUUCCACAUGGUUGGAUUUGACACCGCGAGAGUGACGCCAAGGAACUUGGCAGCAUAUGUAUCUUGGAUCUGUAAUAUGUAUAGUAUAGUAUAGUAUAGUAUAGCAUAUAUAUAUAUAUAUAUAUGGUUUCAUCCAAUAAAUUUAUAUCUGAAAUAUUAAUUUCAAGAUGAUAUACGUAUUUAUUUAUCUCCGUAAAAUUAAGCUACAAAAUCUGCAUGUCCAUAAUAAUAAUGGAGAUGAUCACAAAACCCAAGCGAGACGAAUGGCGUCGUCUCUACAACACUCCUAUUUGGGUCCCCAGCAGUCCAAGUAGAUGAGCUUGGACAAGGACCUCUCGGUGCGCUUGGCUCUCUCCACCGCUCCCUCCCCUCCUUUCCUCCACUGAUCAACGGACGACCAAGACAUCCUCUUGGCCUGAGAGAGCGUCGCCAUGCUGCGUUUCGCCCGCUGGUGGAGGGACCCAACCGUGUAGUUCCAUCGGCACAGCCCUGCUUGAUCCUUGAGCGCCUCCACAGCCGCCAUGCUCGCUGCGAUUAUCAACGAAGCCUUGCUUGCCGAAACCAUACGUAUCAAUCGCCUGCUCUGAGUUUGAAUCUGUGUAACAGAAGUGAGUGUUCGACGGGGAAAGGGAAAGAGCACACGACAGUCCAUAUAAAGCCCGGAACGGAGGGCGGCUGCAGGGAAGGGAGAGGUGGAGGAAGGAGGAAACUGGGGAUGAGCUGCUGCUGCUGCUGGUUUUGGGUUGCUGUUGUUUUCCAGAUACGGAGGGCUUUCGGUAGGCACUUAAAAAAUAUCCAUCUACUAAAGCAGAAGCAAAGCCACACGGAUCGAAAAAUGGUGGGCUCGACUUGCAGUGGGUGCACGAGGAAACUGGGAAUCCAGCGACGCAGAUAUGGAUUGUUCUGUCAGCUGGGUUGUCCUGUUUAUUUGGUUUUUGCCUUCAGCUCUGGUUAAGAAUUAGGGUUCGAUCAAUAUCAAUAAUGAUGCUCGAAUUACGAAACAAGUAACUAUAUCAAUACAUAGAUUCCUUUGUUGGUAACUCAUCUGGAAUGACGCGAGCUUAGCCAUCCAUCAUUGCUGGAAAGUAUUUGUGUGAGUUGAAAACUGUGGUGAAAGUGUAGGAAGUUUACUGUCUCACCGAGAAAGAGAACACUUUGGCGAAGAAUUCAGAUCGAUGGACACAAGGAAAACAUUUCUAACAUGCUUAUCCACGCCAUGAAAACGCAUCAUCCAUCAUGCACGCUCCAAGAAUUCAGAAGAAAUGGUUGAUGAAUAUACAUCAUCAAAGCUGGAUAAUUUACAGUGGAGAAGUAAGCUGAAGCAAAAGGAUCCUCUAAUUGGGACCCCAACAGCUCAAGUACAUGACUGUUCUCAGCGCCUCCUCCGACUGCUUCCCCUUCUCCGCCGCCGCCUGCCACCCUCUCCUACUCCUGUCGACGGAGGAAGAUGUCCUCUUGGCCUGAGACAACGACCCCAUGCUGCUCUUCGCCCGCUGCUGUAGGGAUCUGACGACGUAGUUCCACCGGCACAGCCCCGCCUGAUCCUUGAGCGCCUCCACCGCGCUCAUGCUCGCUGCCACCACCACACAAGCCCUGCUUGUACAACCC
rnacentral:lncRNA from 1 species